rnacentral:rRNA from 1 species
AAAACUAGCCAGUCUUUUGGGUAUGAAACCCAUUUGGGCGAGAGUAGUACUAGGAUGGGUGACCUCCUGGGAAGUCCUUCGUGAAAGGGUUUC